UCUCCGAAUUCAAAAAAUGAAUGGAAUAAUUUAUCCCUUAUAUUCCACCCUCAUAAAUAGGCCACUGCUUCUACCUGUAGUGUAUGUUAUUACCAUUUUGACAAAUAGUUGCGUGGGUGACUCUUAUCGAUGUAAUGUUUCAAAGUGCGGGGAAUAGCGAAUAUAAAUCCAGGUUCACACUAGGAUAAUAUACUAGGUCGAAUCACUAAAGCACAUUGCUAAAUUGUAAACUAAAUAGUGUUUAGUGACACAGUGUUGCAAUAAUAAUAAUAAUUGACUAGUAUAGUUCAUUCUAUUAGUGUUUACAUGUAUGUUUGUACAUUUUCUUGAAAAAUGACUAAAAAAUCAAGACCCGGCGUCCAAAAUUUGUAC